rnacentral:rRNA from 1 species
UCGAUUUGGAGUUUGUUGCCUAGAGUGAUGGGCUCCGAAGCUAACGCGAUAAAUCGACCGCCUGGGGAGUACGGCCGCAAGGUUAAAACUCAAAUGAAUUGACGGGGGCCCGCACAAGCGGUGGAGCAUGUGGUUUAAUUCGAUGCAACGCGAAGAACCUUACCUGGUCUUGACAUCCACAGAAUCUUGCAGAGAUGCGAGAGUGCCUUCGGGAACUGUGAGACAGGUGCUGCAUGGCUGUCGUCAGCUCGUGUUGUGAAAUGUUGGGUUAAGUCCCGCAACGAGCGCAACCCUUAUCCUUUGUUGCCAUCGGUUCGGCCGGGAACUUAAAGGAGACUGCCGUUGAUAAAGCGGAGGAAGGUGGGGACGACGUCAAGUCAUCAUGGCCCUUACGACCAGGGCUACACACGUGCUACAAUGGCGUAUACAAAGGGAGGCGACCUCGCGAGAGCAAGCGGACCUCAUAAAGUACGUCUAAGUCCGGAUUGGAGUCUGCAACUCGACUCCAUGAAGUCGGAAUCGCUAGUAAUCGUGAAUCAGAAUGUCACGGUGAAUACGUUCCCGGGCCU